AUUGAACGCUGGCGGCAGGCCUAACACAUGCAAGUCGAACGAGUGGCGGACGGGUGAGUAAUGUCUGGGAAACUGCCCGAUGGAGGGGGAUAACUACUGGAAAAGGUAGCUAAUUCCGCAUACCAUCUGAUGUUCCCAGAUGGGAUUAGCUACUAGGUGGGGUAACGGCUAACCUAGGCGACGAUCCCUAGCUGGUCUGAGAGGAUGACAGGCCACACUGGAACGGAGACACGGUCCAGACUCCUACGGGAGGAAGAAGAGGGGAAUAUUGCACAAUGGGCGCAAGCCGGAUGAAGCCAUGCCGCGUGUAUGAAGAAGGCCUUCGGGUUGUAAAGUACUUUCAGCGAGGAGGCGUUACUCGCAGAAGAAGCACCGGCUAACUCCGUGCCAGCAGCCGCGGUAAUUC
rnacentral:rRNA from 1 species